CUUAGACUUAGGUAUUAGUGAUUUCAGCUCUGCAGCACGUAACAAGACUCUCAGUUGGUCUAAAUUAGCUCUUUUAUUAUGUCAUGGAGAGAGAAAAGAGCAAAUGGUGUCCAGGACCCACACCACCCAAUACAAAUACCUGUACCCAUCUUCUCUCAACUCACUUGGGCUUUGAGACCCAUGUACGAUAACCAGAGAGCAAGUGUGCAAAAUCGGGACGGGGGUAAUAGGAGCCUAUAUAAGAAAAAGACCCCAAAAUCAGGACAUCUGGUCACCCUAAACCCAUGUCUCCUGCCUAGCAAGUGCUGUUCAGUUGAGGGUGAAUCCCUCCAUUGGGGUAUGCCAGGUACGGUUUUGCUGCCCUCGGUUCACACAACUAAGGAUAGCAACCCUUUAUUACUCCUGCCCCAAUAACCAGGAAACUGGGGAUCCAACAGCAGCUGCAAGUGAUCAUUUAGGCAAGCAGUCCCAUUAUGCUGAGCACCUAGGCAGGGAGGGUGUAUCCAUGCAAAUGAGAUCAGCUUCUGAAGUCUUUUUCCCACAGCUCACCACUAGAUGUCUGCUUACAUAAGCAAGAACAUGUCUCAUCCAUAACUCUGUAACUGACAGGUGUCCAGAGUCCCUUGCUUGAUCAAUCUGCUUGUUAAUUACCUCUCUUCACAGAUCAGAUUUUAACAAAUCCAGGCAAGAUCAGAAGUUGUGUCCUAGGAAGAAACUUUCAUGUGACUGGUUUGGUGUUGCAUGUGCAACAUUUCAAUACGCAAACAAGAAGUUUGUAUGUUUAGCCUAUAAUGAACCUGAUUGUUCUGUUGAAGCUCCGAAAGCUUGUUUCAUGCCGUUACUUUUCAUGAAAGCUUGGAAAUCUGCUGAAACAAAUUGUGGAUCAUUGUCACUUACAACAUGUCCUGGCAGUCCCAUGCGAGCAAAAGGGCUUGGUAGAACUUGUAUGAUACUUGCAGAUGUUGUGGAUGACAUGCAGAAAACUUCAGGCCACUUAGACUAUCAGUCCACUACUACUAGAAAAUUGGUACCCAAGAACAUUUCAGUGACAUGCAGAUUAAUUUGUUCCUAGGGAGCAGACAGUUCCAAGGAUGAAGUGGUGCCAGUCAUAUUGUGCACCCUCUGACAGCCAGAACAGUCAUUAGCUAACUGUUCAAUUUGUUGAUCAAUACCUGGCCACCAGACAUAUCCUCUAGCCCAUGUCUUUAUCUUGACUACACCCAUGUGCCCUACAUGCAGUUCCUCCAGGACCCUUGCCUGUAGUUUUGUAGGAAUGAUGGCACAAAUUCUCCACGUCAGACAACCUUGAACAAUUGUGAUUUCAUUCCUCCAGCGGAAGAAUAACUUUAAGCUCUACACUUGUUCUGUCUUCCAGACUUUUAAGACUUCCAGGAUGGAUGCCACUCCAAAUACUAGUCGGUUAUACUGGAACAAGCUUUUGUCAGUGUUGAUGGAGAGGAAUUCCUCAACCCUUCCUCUACUUCCAUUUGCAGAAAAACUGGUUCAGUCAUUCUCAGAAUGAGAUGAGUGAUAAUUUUCUGUUUCACCUUCUCUCCUCAUUCAUCCCAAAUGGGUAAUGCCGGUCAUCUGUGGAAUUCAGAGGUGGUCCAGUAUUGUUGCUGGAGGCUCCAGGACUCCGCAAGGGACUGUUUCUCCGAACAGGGAGAAAAACAGAGUCCACUAGGGAAUCGCUUGCUAACGCAAGAGGGAAGCUGCUCCAACGACCGUUACUGGUGGUAAGAAGGAACUGAAGAGGUGGCGGGUAACAAGGGAUCUAUAUACAUGGCCAUAAAAGCACCACUCCAGGGGGCUCCACAGCCAACUCGAUGGGUACCGCUAGGAAAAAAACCUUCCGACGAUCGUGCGUGCGGCGUGCACAUACCUCCUUCGAAUUGACAUAAGCAAUCACUCGAAGAACAAGAGCACCCCUUUCUGCUCCAUAUCUAAUAAGUACAGUAACUCCCCACUUAACAUCCUCUCGCUUAACGUUGUUUCGAUCUUACGUCCCUGCUCCAUUACAGAACAUGCUCGUUUAAAGUUGUGCAACACUCCACUAUAACGUCGUUUGGCUGUCUGCUUUGUCCACAGCUGGCAGCCCCCCAUCAGCUCCCCUAUGCCCCCCAUCCCCCUGCUCCCCCCGCCUGCUGGCAGACCCCGCAGAUCAGCACUUUCCCCCUGCUCCCCCCGCCUCCUGCCCGGAGCAAUCAGCUGGUUUGCGGCGUUCAGGAGGCUGCAGGGAGGAGUGAGGACGCGGCGCGCAGGCUCCCCCUCC